UAUGAAUCAGGGGAGUUAAGGCAGAAGGGGGCACUAGAAGAAGAGGUUGAGGAAGGAAGUAGGACAGGAAGGGAGAGAGAAGUGUUAUCCAAGGAAGUUAAUAAGCGUCUCCAAACAAUAAUUUGUUUUGGAAAUUAAUUGUUAAUAAGUAAACCAUAGUAUAAUGGUUCUCACUAGACACCGACACAUUUGAAUGACUACACCCUGCUGCUCUGUAAUAAUGACCCAGAAGCACCCACUGAGUCUGGUGUACCAGGGAAGGCAGAAACAGCAGUGGCACAUACACAGAUACCUUCAGGAGACUAGGGGAGCCCAUGACUUAGCAAAUGGAUAUUUGUUAUCCUGCUGACACACUGAGAGAAACUGCCUUCAGCAUAAAAGGUAAUCAGUGGAUUGUCUGAUGAAUGGCUGAUUGUCAUACUGACUGACUUAAAUAUUAAACACAUGGAAUCAGAGAAUUUAACAGGGUUUCCAUAAAGGGUCGGGAGAGUGAAGAAACAAGGGCCCCAUGCUCGGCCUGCUGGGAAAUCUGCAAGAACAGGCUACAGCUAGGGACUCCAGAAGUAAAUCCCUCUGCUUAUUUGAUGCUGCUUUGAAAGGAUGGCAAUGAAAUGAACAGAGAAAGUCGAAUACACAGUCUUUUUCAGAACCAAUUUAUUGGAAUGGUUUCCAGUGUUAAAUGGCUACAAAGUCUGCUCUGGGAUUCAAUUCUUCACCUUGGGAAAGCGUUUCAGAUGGCUUCCUAAUUGCCUUGCUAACCUAUUUUAUAAGUUCUUACAUCAAAACAACCUGUAUUAUUUUCCAUUUAUUCUGCUAAAUGACAUUUCUGGCACUAAAGCACAAUUUUAGUAAGUGGUCUGCUCUCGAAAAUAGGCUCUAUUUCUUUUUAAUCAUCUAAAGUGUUAGCAAAGAACAACAAAAUAGAAGAAAUGUAAAAUGUCGUGAUGAUAGCAUGAGUUUCUCCAAGCUAUGAACAAGCACAAUUGACCCAGUUUGCUUCAGAAAAUUGCAUUGAUGAGGCUGGUCAUCACACAGUUGUUAUCUUCGGAGUAAACAGGGUCCAUGCAUCUUAUCAGAGCAGGAGAUUUAUAUUAGGUGCAGUGUACUUGUCCUUUUCCUCUGAUAGUAUCCUUUAUUCUCUGGAGUCUGAUUUAUAUGUCUCUGCCUUCAGCCAUCUGAAUCCUUUGAUGUGGACCAAAGUCCACAUCAUAUUCUAGUCAAGAUCUCUUGUGAAUAUCAGACCUAGAAUCCUCUCCAUCUAGUUGACAGUCUCUGUAGUUGUCACAAAAUCACCUUGGAAUCUGGAUGGCUAAAUUGGAUGCAUGGCUCUUCCCACAGCCUGGAACUCAACCAAGGACAAUAUUAACUAUCAAAAGACACAGGCCAGGCCAGGCCAGGAACACAGAAAGCCACCUAUUAGAAACUCACUAUAUCACACAUGUACAUCUAUCUAAAUUUUAGAAGAUUAUCUUGACGUAUUUACUUUCAAUACAUCUAUUUCUUUCAUUGCUUCAGUCUCAUUAAACUUAAUACAUGGGUGUCACAUCCUGCCAUGACAUUAGCAUUCCUACUGUGCCCUGCAGUGCCUGUGUGAACUAGACACUGACAUUCAUGGGCUUGCCUCACUGUGCACCUCUUCAUCUGAGCUGCAUGAUCU
ensembl:lncRNA